rnacentral:rRNA from 1 species
AUACGGAGGAUGCGAGCGUUAUCCGGAUUUAUUGGGUUUAAAGGGUGCGUAGGCGGAUUGAUAAGUCAGUGGUGAAAGGCUGCAGCUUAACUGUAGACUUGCCGUUGAUACUGUCAGUCUUGAGUAUGGUCAAGGCAGGCGGAAUGUGUAAUGUAGCGGUGAAAUGCUUAGAUAUUACACAGAACACCGAUUGCGAAGGCAGCUUGCUGGGCCAUCACUGACGCUCAUGCACGAAAGCGUGGGGAGCAAACAGGAUUAGAUACCCUGGUAGUCCCAGCCGUAAACGAUGAGUGCUAGGUGUGGGGGGCAACAAUCCUCCGUGCCGGAGUUAACACAAUAAGCACUCCGCCUGGGGAGUACGGCCGCAAGGCUAAA